rnacentral:tRNA from 1 species
AUUAGGUUAGCAAAGUAAAGUGCAAAUAAUUUAGAAUUAUAAGACGAGAAUUAAUUCUCACCUAAUA